AACUCCAGCAAGCACAAUGGAAGGGGCCCAUCAAAGACAGUGAUUGCAUUGUGGAUCCUGUGAGGAUGUGAGCAAUGGGACUGGUCUCAGGCACAUUCCCGGGCUGCAUCAGCAGGUAACACCCCAGAUCUUACAUAGACAACAGACAAAAUGUAUGGGUGGAUGGAGACACAGGCGACUGAGUGUAAGAACAGCCCACAUCACAGUGACUGGGAAUCGGUAAUUACUCUCCUACUACCCGGAUGUAAGCAAGCCAGUGCAAACACAAUGGCUUCAGGAUGACCUUCUCUCACCAGUUCUAAGACACUGUGACUAACUCAGCAUGGCUCCGCUCAGCUCUUUCUUGCUUCUCUUUCCUUACCCCUGCUUUCUCUUUCCUUUCCCCUGCUGGCUGCAUCUUGCAAGAGCAUUCAGGAGGCAGUCUUAGAACCGGGUCUUGAUUUGUUAAACAACCACCUCCCUAAGCACACCGAGGGUCUUCUGUUCGUGGAAAGUGGCUCUAACACUUUCUGUACUCUAUGUGCUCAAAGUUACCAAACACUCAAAGUUUCAAAACAUGCUAAUCUGGGCUGCUGAGUUGGCUUAGUGGGUAAAAGUGCUUGUGGGAGAGACUGACAAGCUGAGUUUGCUUCCUGAGACCAGAUUCAUAGUGUCCUCUGACCUCCAUAAAUGCACUGUGGUAUACCACAGUGUGCAUGCACAUAUUCACAGUAGAGUACUGGCCCCAGUGAACGAUGACAGAUCACAUGAAUAGCAGAAGUUGGACACUUAGAAAGCCCGUGAAGCUCACACCAAGUGGCCUAGCACCAUCAGGACUCAGUCAUAAGUGCUAGAGCCCCAAUUUUCUGUCUGAACCCUUGCAUAGUUCUUGUAAACACCCUCUGUUCUUUUGCCUGCUUUGGGAGUCUUUGCUCAUUGCUGCUGCUGGUGCUGAAUGCCUUGCAGAGGCGAGUUCUGAAUAAAUACCCUCUGCUUGCUUUUCUUUGUCCGUCCUAGCAAAAGACUCACUGAGCUGAACAUUUAAGAAUUGUGUUCUUUAUACUGAUUGUUCUGUAUAUCUUAUUGAUUAGAUAAUCUUAAAUAAAGAGAAAAUAACAGUCAAGACCA